AUACGAAGGGGGCUAGCGUUGUUCGGAGUCACUGGGCGUAAAGCGCGCGUAGGUGGAUCAAUUAGUUGAGGGUGAAAUCCCGGGGCUCAACCUCGGAACUGCCUUCAAUACUGUUGAUCUUGAGACCGAGAGAGGUGAGUGGAAUUCCUAGUGUAGAGGUGAAAUUCGUAGAUAUUAGGAAGAACACCAGUGGCGAAGGCGGCUCACUGGCUCGGUACUGACGCUGAGGUGCGAAAGCGUGGGGAGCAAACAGGAUUAGAAACCCCAGUAGUCC
rnacentral:rRNA from 1 species